rnacentral:rRNA from 1 species
AACGAACGCUGGCGGCAGGCCUAACACAUGCAAGUCGAGCGAAGCCUUCGGGCUUAGCGGCGGACGGGUGAGUAACGCGUGGGAACGUGCCCUUUGCUACGGAAUAGCCCCGGGAAACUGGGAGUAAUACCGUAUGUGCCCUUCGGGGGAAAGAUUUAUCGGCAAAGGAUCGGCCCGCGUUGGAUUAGGUAGUUGGUGGGGUAAUGGCCUACCAAGCCGACGAUCCAUAGCUGGUUUGAGAGGAUGAUCAGCCACACUGGGACUGAGACACGGCCCAGACUCCUACGGGAGGCAGCAGUGGGGAAUCUUAGACAAUGGGCGGAAGCCUGAUCUAGCCAUGCCGCGUGAUCGAUGAAGGCCUUAGGGUUGUAAAGAUCUUUCAGGUGGGAAGAUAAUGACUGUACCACCAGAAGAAGCCCCGGCUAACUCCGUGCCAGCCGCCGCGGUAAUAC